GUUCUUGUAGCUUACACAAAGCAUGGCACUGAAGAUGCCAAGACGGCUGCUACACACACCCAAGAACA
rnacentral:tRNA from 1 species